GUAGGGAUCCGAGCGUUAUCCGAAUUUACUGGGCGUAAAGCGCGUGUAGACGGUCGGGGUAAGUUGGGACGUGAAAGCUCCUGGCUCAACUAGGAGAGGUCGUUCAAAACUGCCUGGCUAGAGGGCGACAGAGGGAGGUGGAAUUCCCGGUGUAGUGGUGAAAUGCGUAGAUAUCGGGAGGAACACCAGUGGCGAAGGCGGCCUCCUGGGUCGCACCUGACGCUCAGACGCGAAAGCUAGGGGAGCGAACGGGAUUAGAUACCCCGGUAGUCCUAGCUGUAAACGAUGUGGACUUGGCGUUGGUGGGGUUAAAUCCAUCAGUGCCGUAGCUAACGCGAUAAGUCCACCGCCUGGGGACUACGGUCGCAAAGAUUAA
rnacentral:rRNA from 1 species